UCCCUAGUCUCUGGGCCCUUACAAUGUUAGCAAAACAGCUUUGCUGGGUCUCACUAAGAACUUUGCCGCAGAGUUGGCCCCAAAGAACAUUCGAGUGAACUGCUUGGCACCUGGACUCAUCAAGACUCACUUCAGCAGUGUGUUGUGGAAGGAGAAAGCAAGAGAAGAAAUGAUAAAAGAAACCAUGCAAAUUAGAAGGCUAGGCAAGCCAGAGGAUUGUGUCGGUAUAGUUUCCUUCUUGUGCUCUGAAGAUGCCAGUUACAUCAAUGGCGAGACAGUAGUGGUUGGGGGAGGAACCCCUUCUCGCCUCUGAGGACCUAGAGACAGCCUACCAGGGCAAGUGUGUGGGGAGGGUGCACUCCACCUUGUCUCUGUCGCCCUUCCUUGCCACCGCCAACAUCUUGUUCACCUCACAAAAUCAGCUCUGCCCAGUGUUAAGUUCCUGCUUUCCGUGUGGUCAAAGUGUGGUCAGAUGAGCAUCCUCGCUGUUGCUAUGGCCCUGAAAAGGGCUUUGGGGAGGGGGCGGGGAGCUAGGGGAUAGGUAGUGGAAACGGGGCUUGCUGAGAAGACUGUGGCUACUUUAGUGAAGAUCAAAUCCCUCUCAUUCUCGUCUCUGGAGACUUUAAAGGGAGAUAGAAGGAACGGACCUGAACAGAGAUGGAAAUUAACAAUUUACAAAUACGGUACAAAUAAAAUGAAGAUGAUCGCGUU
rnacentral:lncRNA from 1 species